AACAUUUCACAACACGAGCCGACGACAGCCAUGCAGCACCUGUCUCAGAGUUCCCGAAGGCACUAAGCUAUCUCUAGCGAAUUCUCUGGAUGUCAAGAGUAGGUAAGGUUCUUCGCGUUGCAUCGAAUUAAACCACAUGCUCCACCGCUUGUGCGGGCCCCCGUCAAUUCAUUUGAGUUUUAACCUUGCGGCCGUACUCCCCAGGCGGUCGACUUAACGCGUUAGCUCCGGAAGCCACGCCUCAAGGGCACAACCUCCAAGUCGACAUCGUUUACAGCGUGGACUACCAGGGUAUCUAAUCCUGUUUGCUCCCCACGCUUUCGCACCUGAGCGUCAGUCUUUGUCCAGGGGGCCGCCUUCGCCACCGGUAUUCCUCCAGAUCUCUACGCAUUUCACCGCUACACCUGGAAUUCUACCCCCCUCUACAAGACUCAAGCCUGCCAGUUUCAAAUGCAGUUCCCAGGUUAAGCCCGGGGAUUUCACAUCUGACUUAACAGACCGCCUGCGUGCGCUUUACGCCCAGUAAUUCCGAUUAGCGCUUGCACCCUCCGUAUUACCGCGGCUGCUGGCACGGAGUUAGCCGGUGCUUCUUCUGCGGGUAACGUCAAUCGACGCGGUUAUUAACCGCAUCGCCUUCCUCCCCGCUGAAAGUACUUUACAACCCGAAGGCCUUCUUCAUACACGCGGCAUGGCUGCAUCAGGCUUGCGCCCAUUGUGCAAUAUUCCCCACUGCUGCCUCCCGUAGGAGUCUGGACCGUGUCUCAGUUCCAGUGUGGCUGGUCAUCCUCUCAGACCAGCUAGGGAUCGUCGCCUAGGUGAGCCAUUACCCCACCUACUAGCUAAUCCCAUCUGGGCACAUCUGAUGGCAAGAGGCCCGAAGGUCCCCCUCUUUGGUCUUGCGACGUUAUGCGGUAUUAGCUACCGUUUCCAGUAGUUAUCCCCCUCCGUCAGGCAGUUUCCCAGACAUUACUCACCCGUCCGCCGCUCGUCACCCAGAGAGCAAGCUCUCCUGUGCUACCGCUC
rnacentral:rRNA from 1 species